GGGUUGUGAGGUUAAGCGACUAAGCGUACACGGUGGAUGCCCUGGCAGUCAGAGGCGAUGAAGGACGUGCUAAUCUGCGAUAAGCGCCGGUAAGGUGAUAUGAACCGUUAUAACCGGCGAUUUCCGAAUGGGGAAACCCAGUGUGACUCGUCACACUAUCAUUAACUGAAUCCAUAGGUUAAUGAGGCGAACCGGGGGAACUGAAACAUCUAAGUACCCCGAGGAAAAGAAAUCAACCGAGAUUCCCCCA
rnacentral:rRNA from 28 species